rnacentral:lncRNA from 1 species
GCUUGAUUGAUUUAUUUAUUAUUAGGAUUUAUUUCUUUGUAAUGGAUUAGGUUUUAUUUAUUUAUUAUUAGGAUUUACUUGUUUAUUUUAUAUAAUUGGCACACCUGUGUUGGUACCUGAGGCUUUGAGCUCUGUCUGCUGCCCUGGUAAGAGCAAAUUAAAAAUCAGAUAUAUUAAAGUGUCUGAAAAAGUGAUUCCACUGCAUCCCUGGAGCGAAAACACACCCAGGAAAGCUCCUGCCUGGAAAGCUGAACAAUCUGGAGCACUUUGGCAUUUUAGGGGCAUUUUGGGGAUACAUUUAGAGCCUCUUUAGCUUGUGCUGGCAUUAAGGCUGUGAAUGUAUAAAUGGGAUAUAAUCCCAAAUACCUUCCCACAGCCCAGCUGGGGCUGGCACAUCCCUGCAGUGCUGGGUUGGCUCCUUCCCCUGGAAAAUCUCCUCCUUCCCCUGGAAAAUCUCCUCCUUCCCCUGUGAAACCUCUUUCCCGUAGAAAAUUUCUUCCUUCCCUGGAAAAUCUCUUCCUUCCCCUGGAAAAUUUCUUCCUUUCCCUGGAAAAUCUCUUCCUUCCCCUGGAAAAUUUCUUCCUUUCCCUGGAAAAUUUCUUCCUUUCCCUGGAAAAUUUCUUCCUUUCCCUGGAAAAUCUCUUCCUUCCCCUGGAAAAUCUCUUCCUUCCCUGGAAAAUCUCUUCCUUCCCCUGGAAAAUCUUCUCCUUCCCCUGUGAAACCUCUUCUUUCCCGUAGAAAAUUUCUUCCUUCCCCUGGAAAAUUUCUUCCUUUCCCUGGAAAAUCUCUUCCUUCCCCUGGAAAAUCUCUUCCUUCCCCUGUGAAGCCUCUCCUUCCCCUGGAAAAUUUCUUCCUUUCCCUGGAAAAUUUCUUUCUUCCCCUGGAAAAUUUCUUCCUUUCCCUGGAAAAUUUCUUCCUUUCCCUGGAAAAUUUCUUCCUUCCCCUGGGAAAUCUCUUCCUUCCCCUGGAAAAUCUCUUCUUUUCCCUGGAAAAUCUCCUCCUUCCCCUGGAAAAUCUCUUCCUUCCUCUGGAAAAUCUCCUCCUUCCCCUGUGAAACCUCUUCUUUCCCAUAGAAAAUUUCUUCCUUCCCCUGGAAAAUUUCUUCCUUUCCCUGGAAAAUUUCUUCCUUUCCGUGGAAAAUCUCCUCCUUCCCCUGGAAAAUCUCUUCCUUCCCCUGGGAAAUCUCUUCCUUCCCCUGGAAAAUCUCUUCCUCCCCCUGGAAAAUCUCUUCCUUUCCCUGGAAAAUCUCUUCCUUCCCCUGUGAAGCCUCUCCUUUCCCGUAGAAAAUUUCUUCCUUUCCCUGGAAAAUCUCUUCUUUUCCCUGGAGAAUCUCCUCCUUCCCCUGGGAAAUCUCUUCCUUCCCCUGGGAAAUCUCUUCCUUCCCCUGGAAAAUUUCUUCCUUUCCCUGGAAAAUUUCUUCCUUUCCCUGGAAAAUCUCCUCCUUCCCCUGGAAAAUCUCCUCCUUCCCCUGUGAAACCUCUUUCCCGUAGAAAAUUUCUUCCUUCCCCUGGAAAAUCUCCUCUUUCCCCUGUGAAACCUCUUCUUUCCCGUAGAAAAUUUCUUCCAUCCCCUGGAAAAUUUCUUCCUUCCCUUAGAAAAUCUCUUCUUUCCCCUGCCUGCCUCCCUCCCUGUGUCUGGACUUGUUCACAAAAGCAGGAGUGCUCACCUCCUCUCACUUCUGCUGAGCUCCUUCACUGAGUCACAGUGAAUUUUUUUCACUCUUUCCCAGCAAAAUGCCCUUUUUUGGGUGUUGGGGUUUUCCACAAGGCCCUUGGAGGCCUCCUGGAAGCUGCUUCACUUCCCUGCUGUGCCCACCUUGCCCCAGUCCCUGACUUUCUCAUGGGGGAGGUUCACAUCAGAGACUGGAAAGAAUUUUUCCCUCC